rnacentral:rRNA from 1 species
CCUGCCUAAUACAUGCAAGUCGAGCGGAUUGAUGGGAGCUUGCUCCCUGAAAUCAGCGGCGGACGGGUGAGUAACACGUGGGUAACCUGCCUGUAAGACUGGGAUAACUCCGGGAAACCGGGGCUAAUACCGGAUAUUUCUUUUCCUCGCAUGAGGAAAAGUGGAAAGGUGGCUUUUAGCUACCACUUACAGAUGGACCCGCGGCGCAUUAGCUAGUUGGUGAGGUAACGGCUCACCAAGGCAACGAUGCGUAGCCGACCUGAGAGGGUGAUCGGCCACACUGGGACUGAGACACGGCCCANACUCCUACGGGAGGCAGCAGUAGGGAAUCUUCCGCAAUGGACGAAAGUCUGACGGAGCAACGCCGCGUGAGUGAUGAAGGUUUUCGGAUCGUAAAGCUCUGUUGUUAGGGAAGAACAAGUGCCGUUCGAAUAGGUCGGCACCUUGACGGUACCUAACCAGAAAGCCACGGCUAACUACGUGCCAGCAGCCGCGGUAAUACGUAGGUGGCAAGCGUUGUCCGGAAUUAUUGGGCGUAAAGCGCGCGCAGGCGGUCUCUUAAGUCUGAUGUGAAAGCCCACGGNUCAACCGUGGAGGGUC